GUCAGAAACACACAGGUACAGGCAGUAACACACAUACAGUUACAGGUAGAUAAACACACUCACACACAAUUACAUGCAGUCACACACACACACAGGCAGCCACACACACAUAGGCAGCCACGCACACACACACACAGGCAGACAGUCACACACACACACACAAACACAGGCACAGUCACACAUACACAGGCAGACAGUCAUACACACAAACACACACACACACACACAGAGGCAGACAGUCAUACACACACACACAGGCAGACAGUCAUACACACACACGCAGACACACAGGCAGACAGUCAUACACACAGACACACACAGGCAGACAGUCAUACACACACAGGCAGACAGUCAUACACACAGACACACACAGGCAGACAGUCAUACACACACAGGCAGACAGUCACACUCAUACUGAAAAUCAUACAUAGUUACCCCUGUUCAUUGUUGAGGCAGUGC